ACCACCUAGAAGCAGAAGCUCAUCUGUAAAUGUAAGCCAUCCAGGUGGAAUUCAGGGUAAAGUGUCAGAGUGGGGGGGAGGGCGAUCCCUCACCUUUCCAGUAGACCUCACACCCUUCCAGACGCAGAAAUAACAGAUGAUCCAGCAGACCAGGAGACACAGAGAUAGGUCCCACCGCACAGUGCCCAUCUCUCCUAUCCCUGAAGACAACCCUAGCACCCUCCUCCUGAUGGAGCAUUGGAUAGCUUUAUAUGAAUUUCUUAAAGUAUCAUUCUGAGCUUUACAAUGGCACAUGAAACGCUUAACACUCUGAUUUAUUCCCAUCAUGCUCUGGGGUUCUGUCUGAAUACUUACUCCCAGAAUUCCACCACGGGGGAGGUGGCUUUGUCCAGCAUCUGGUCAGUGAUAUUGUGGCUCAGUGGAACACAGGAUUCUGAAACAUUUUGGAGACAGAGUUGUGGUCAAUGGUUCUGUUCUAAGACAAACUGCGUGGUGUUCUUAAGAUCUGCAAAUACAGUCAAGCCCGAUGAGAGCCUCUUCACCUGUGUUCCAGUAGUUAUGACAUGUGGCCCAGGGGAGCUCAGAGCUGAAGGAGAAGACAAGGUAUAGCAAGGCCCAGGCCAGGAUGACGAUGUAGUAAAUACUGGUGUACAACACAACAACCUGACCUGCGUAUCCCACUCCUGAGAAGCAAGACAGAAAAGAGAGGGCAGAUCUUUCUCCAGCAGGUGAUGCCCCCUUGGCUGGUGUACUGGCCCAGGGCGGUCUCCAGCAGGAAGAGGGGGAUGCCACAGGUGAACAGGAACAGAACGUAUGGGAUGAAGAAUGCCCCUGGGGAGAAAAGCAUGAACAUCCAGAAUCCAGCUGCAUAUGGAGGCGCUGAUUCCCACUUUCUGAAUGACUAUAAUCCAUAAACGGGAGCCGGACAUUCAGGAAUCAUUUAAAGAACUUCCUGGGAAUGAGGGAUAUACUCCAUCUUGCUGCCCCACUGGCCUCUUUCUUGGGAUCCGGUUACCGGGGCAUGUGUGCCGCUGUUCUGGCCAGCCAUCGGCAGCUGCACCUCUGGUUGGUGGUACUCCUCCAUGGCCUUCGAGGAACAGAACAGGGGAACACGAUAGCAGUGGUGGAUGCAGGCUGUUUGAAGGGCCAGGCUGUUUGACGACGUACACCACCUCUGUCAGAUUUAAGAUGUAACAGAUGUGACUGGGCAAUGUGGUGGGUCAAUGGUUAGUGGUUCCAGGUCGGAGCAGGAACCAGGGUCCAUGGACCAGGACUGAGGGCCAGACCAGAGGGGUCCCAUUCCAGGUCCUCUAAUGGAUCCUCCUCUGGGUUCACCCUCACUGAGCAAGUGGCAACCAAGUCCGAGUCUAAUCUCAAGUCUCCAACGUGGUUCCCGUUUGACAUUACUAUUUAUCAAAAAUGUAACUGUCUACUUGUUUUUUUUCUAUUUGUAA